UUUUUUGACUAAACUAUGACAGCAGUAGGGAAGGUGCCUCCAAAUCAGAUACACAUUUUAAAAAUAAUUUGUACCAUAGCUUGUGCCGAAAAUUUGCGCACACUGUCCCACUGUGACAAUGCUUAUCAGGCACACUUUGGAGAUGGAACAAAAUUAACAGUUUUAGAGCCUAAUCGCACAAAAGAACCAGAAGUAGAAAUCCUGAAGCCCUCUGAAAUCGAGACUGGCUGUAAGAAAAGAGUCACUCUUGUGUGUGUGGCCAAAGACUUCUACCCAGACCAUGUGAGCAUAAGAUGGAGCCUUGGAAACAAUGAAUUAAAAAAAGAUAUAGCGACAGACCCAUAUGCCAUCAAAGACAAUGCCACAAAAUUGUUCAGCAUAUCCAGCAGACUUCAAGUCUCUAAAAAAGAUUUCAAACCAAAACACAAUUACACAUGUACAGUGAAAUACUACUAUGAAACAGACAAGUACAUGAACGUAUCCGGCAGUAUCAUUGGAAUUGAAGGUGAUGAAUAUGAGCCAGAAAGCUAUGUGAAUUCAGCACAGUGGAUGAAACUGGCAUACGGUGUGUUCAUCGCUAAGAGUGGACUGUAUGGUCUUGUCGUCUUAGUGUAUGUGAUGAGAAAGGGUUCAGCUGGAAAGUGAAUGACCUGAAGAUGGAUUAUGGAUUAUGGAUUGACGGAAUUACCAAGAAAACUCAUUUACUCUUUGAUUAUAUAACUGAAGAUUCUAUCUAUUUCAUUUCAUUUCUCUCUUUCUGUUCUUUACUGAGUGUGUAUCGCAGUGAAAAUCUGCAGGUACUUUUUUUUUGAUAAUAUAUAUAUAUAUAUAUAUAUAUAUAUAUAUAUAUAUAUAUAUAUAUAUAUAUAUUUCUUAUGUCAUUGCUACUGUACAUACUUACAAUUCGAUAACAAACUACUAUGCCAAUAAAACACACUUAACAGAGCUAAAUAUAACUCAUUGUUUCUCAUAUUAAGAUUUACUGUAUUUUCUUUCCUUUUUUUAUACAUAAAUGCAUAUUACCCACAAAGGAAAUUCUCACUUAUUUUUAUAGGCAUAUUGUUCACCAAUUCAAGACUAAUAGCUAUUUUGAUAGCUUUUAUUUUUUGGUAGAGUAGAUGGCACUUGCUGUUAAAGGUUUCAUUCCCAGGGAGCAUAAAUUCAUUGAAUACCUUGAAUUGCUUUGAAUAAAAGCAUCUGCAAAAGGCCUAAAAGGAAAAGACAAUUUGUAGCCAAUAAAGUUCAUAGGACUGACAAUGGUCUCCCAAUUGCUUUCAAUUAAGUAACAACAUGAUGACAAUGAUGUAACUGGUUGAUUGUAUUCUGUUACCAAUAGCCAAUACACUGUUACUGGUCACUAAAACAUUGUAAUUAGAAAUAAAUCACUUUUUACUUUUUUAGGUGAACUGUUCAUUUGAAUAAACAUGAAUAAAAUCUUUCUUUUGCAAUAUAAAUCUUUGGAUAAAAGCAUAACACUUUCUCCCUCCCUCUCUUUCUCCCAAAAAGUACCUGUUCUGGCAUAUUUAAUAAUUUUAUAUUUUUUAUUUAAUUUAAAUUUAAUAUUUUGUUUGCAAUAUGAUUUCAAAAAUACGUUAUGUAAAAUUAAAAUACCAUGCAUUUGACCACUUUUUAAUUGCUAAAUCUAAGUGCAUAGUUAAUGAUAACCUACACUUAUUGAAUGUCUAGUUGUUUUGAUAUUAACUGAGGAAAUUAGAAGAGCAGCGAGGUUAGUUCUCAGAAAACCUCUGCAUAUGGUAUUUGGUUUGAUAUAUAUUUUAUUAUCCUAUUUUACAGUGUUUUGACUGUUCUUGGGGCCACUGUGUAUAUUUACCUUUUGGUUAGUUUGAAUUACUGUUAAAAUCAUAAUGCACAUUUAAAUACACAAAACCUCCUGUAAUAGCUGCUGCUCAGAAGAGGCCUCUCUGGGUAACAGCUGGGAGGCCACUAUGGCUUUCACGGUCUCAACCAGAAAAGGGGCCCCCAAAAAACAGUGUACCGUUGCCCAUUAUUAGCUGUUAGUUGUUGAGGUUUAGGUAAUGAGGUAAAUCAUCGUGUACUAGCUACGCAAAACUAGAAUUUGGAGAAGGGACCAAACUGACGGUUCUGGGUAAGUCCGAAUUUUAAAACUCUUAAAUUGUACUAGUAGAGAUCAUUCAAUAAAUGUACUCGUAUGAUUUAUGAAAUGCAGUAAGAAUUUCACGUUUUCAAUGCAAAAAAAAAAAAAAAAAAAAAAAAAAAAAUCAAU